UCUUUCAUUUUCUGGGACUGUGUGACGAUAAAUAGCCCCCCAGCCCAUACAGAGUUCUGGGCUGAUCAUGGAGGAUGCAGCUGCAGAGAACCACCCAGUCCUGUCGUCCCUUCUAUGCUACUAAGCAACUAACUGUCAGUCUGCAUCUAGUUCCCUCAAACUCAACUCAAAGCCAGUUCCACUGCAUUUCUUUCAUUGUUCCCAUCUAAUCAGAGACAGUUUUAGACCUGGGACACCAGGUGUGUGCAGUUAAUGAUCAGGUAGAACAGAAAACCAGCAGGCUCCGGAACAGAAAACCAGGUAGAACAGAAGACCAGCAGGCUCCGGAACAGAAAACCAGGUAGAACAGAAAACCAGCAGGCUCCGGACCUCGUAGGGUAACAACAGAAAACCAGCAGGCUCCGGACCUCGUAGGACCUAGACAACCAGGUGAGGGGAGUUCCUUACUAAUCAGUGACCUUCAUUCUUUAAUCAAGUACAAGGGAGGAAGGAAAACCUGCAGACACUCAGCCCUCCGUGGAAAGAGUUUGACACGUGAUUUAAAAGGAAAAUAGGUUGACAUAAGUAUUUUACAAAGGUUGAAGCUUGAAGUUGCCAGACAGUGUUAGAGACGAGAGUUCGGGAGGGUUAUUGUCCUGCUGAAAGGUGAAUUCCUCUUCCAGUGUCUGGUGUAAAGCAGACUGAAGGUUUUCCUCUAGGAUUUUGCCUGUGCUUAGCUCCAUCCCAUUUCUUUUGAUCCUGAAAAACUCCCCCGUCGUUGCCGAUGUCACGCAUACCCAAACCAUGAUGCAGGCACCACCAUGCUUGAAAAUAGGUAGGCAGUUACUCUGUGAUGUACCGUGUUGGAUUUGCCUCAAACAUAACACUUUGCAUUUAGGCCAUUUUUAAUGUGUCUGGGUAACUUGACCAUGCUUAAAGAGAUAUUCAAUGUCUGAUUUGUUGUUGUUACCCAUCUACCAAUCAUAAUCUGCCUGUUUGGCCCUGUCCGGUGGUAUCAUCGGAUGGGGCCACAGUGUCUCCAGACCCCUCCUGUCUCAGCCUCCAGCAUUUAUGCUGCAGUAGUUUAUGUGUCGGGGGGCUAGGGUCAGUCUGUUAUAUCUGGAGUACUUCUCCUGUCUUAUCCGGUGUCCUGUGUGAAUUUAAGUAUGCUCUCUCCAAUUCUCUCUUUCUCUCUCUCGGAGGACCUGAGCCCUAGGACCAUGCCUCAGGCAUACCUGGCAUGAUGACUCCUUGCUGUCCCCAGUCCACCUGGCCGUGCUGCUGCUCCAGUUUCAACUGUUCUGCCUGCGGCUAUGGAACCCUGACCUGUUCACCGGAUGUGCUACCUGUCCCAGACCUGCUGUUUUCAACUCUCUAGAGACAGCAGGAGCAGUAGAGAUACUCUUAAUGAUCGGCUAUGAAAAGCCAACGGACAUUUCCUCCUGAGGUGCUGACCUGUUGCACCCUCGACAACUACUGUGAUUAUUAUUAUUUGACCAUGCUGGUCAUUUAUGAACAUUUGAACAUCUUGGCCAUGUUCUGUUAUUAAAAUCUCCACCCGGCACAGCCAGAAGAGAACUGGCCACCCCUCAUAGCCUGGUUCCUCUCUAGGUUUCUUCCUAGGUUUUGGCCUUUCUAGGGAGUUUUUCCUAGCUACCUUGCUUCUAUACCUGCAUUGCUUGCUGUUUGGGGUUUUAGGCUGGGUUUCUGUAUAGCACUUUGAGAUAUCAGCUGAUGUAAGAAGGGUUAUAUAAAUAAAUUUGAUUUGAUUUGA